CACAGAAUGUUUUGGGGAACCAAAUUUUACGCCGUGGUCUCAAAGCUUUUGAUCAUUGAUUUGAUAAAAGCUCUGGCCGAUUCGCCGGAUUCUACCUCCUCGAUUCUCGAAGAGACGCCUCAAGACAGAAAGAAAUUUUAGAAAAGCAUAAAAUUGUUCCGAAAGUGUUGGCAUAUAUGCCGAAGUAUGUUCUCUCUGGUAGCUUUGAUGGCAAAGAGAUGUCUUUCGGAAACAGCUUCACUCCAGAUGAAAUCAGGAAGCCUCCUAUUUUUUUACACCGAAAAAAAAGAAGAUGCUGUAGUAACAUCCCGGAUGUUACGGUUGUUAAAAAAUGUGCGACAACUCUUGGAUGUUACUAUUAACACUCUGGCAGUUAACGUAGCAUGAUAGGAUGUAAAGUAACAUCCUAGGAUGUUACUUGAACAGCCAGAGUGGUAAUGACAACAUCCAAGAGUUGUCGCACAUUUUUCUUACAUCCAGAUGUUACUACAGCACCUCUUUUUUUUUCGGUGUAGAUUGGCCGAUCAACGGAACAAAAGCGCUAUAUUGUUUACUUGCGAUAGGUAUAGAUGUUCCAAACAAGAAAAAACCAAAGUUGCGGGAUUUAGGCAUUGGUUUGUCGGUAACAUUCCCGGAACUGACAUAUCAAAAGGGCGAACGUAUCUCCCAUAUAUUGGUGCAGGCGAUUUUCUGGACCAAGGUUCGCAUCGGAUUGUAUUUGUAGUAUUUCAACAACCGGGUAGUAGAGAAUCAAAUUUUAUGAAAGAAAACUCACAAAGUGUAAGAUAUUUUGUUUUUUUGAAAGUUGAAUGUAAUCACAACGUCAUACUCACGAGAAACUAAGCCAGUCACGGUCGUUUUUGCUUCCAUAAAAUGAAUUUCAGAACCUAAAUGACACGCACAUUUGUCGGUCUGAGCACUAAUUGUGGUUUAACAUUUAGAGUUUAGAAAUUAGUUGAGAGUAGAAAGAUACCAGCACACCCAUAUUAAUGGAUGUAACUGACCAUUUAAAACUAUGAUUGAUCACAUCCACCAUUGUGGGAAUAAAGUCCAUUGUUUAAAUUCUGUACUGCACUGUUCUGAUCUCUCCUCUGAGGUGUUAAUGACACUGAUGUUAAACACCUUUAAAUAAACGUAUCUACCACCAACCAACCAUGGUUUCAUUCAUGCUGACGUAACGUUACCAUUACAAAAGUGGUGUAUUAGUGAUACAUGAAGCAUAUCGACGGUGGAAACUACCAAUCCACGUAUCUCGGUUUGCGACGUUGUUGACUUCCUGUCAUACUUUAUUUUUUUAAAUAGAAAACUAUUCAACGUCAAUUCAUGAAAACUUCCGUGAUUUUUCCUCUUUGUGUGGAGAAAAAUCUGUGAAAAUUGUAAGGAAUGAUAUUGAUUUGAUCUCCUUCAAAAAAAUAAAAUGGGAGUGGAGAUUUUCAAACACCGCAAACGAGAUACAAGGUCUGGUAGUUUUCCCGUCGAUAUGUAAGGAAACUAAGGUAUGCAAUUAGCCAUCACUGUUGUGGGUGACGUAUAUAUUUACGGGUUUAUAUUUUUUAAAGGGUGACCCCCUCAUUCACAUAUCACUUCAAUUUUUUACAAAUACUAUACUUUUCUGUUAAUUUUUAAAUUUAACUAACAAAUCAAAUGAGAAACAACACCCCUGACUUAUUUCCUGAGUAAAUUUGCUCUUUUUGUCAAAUCCGACGUAACUAACUUCUCUCCAUAAGGAUAGGAGGUACAAAAAAAUCGUCAUUUGCUUCUAAUUAUGCCUUCAUAUUAUCAAACAAAAAGAGAUCGUAUGAUUUUACACGUGACUGCAAAUAAGCGGAAAAGUUUUUAAAAGUCACUUUCCUCGUUUUUCCUACUGUUUCAUGUAACCAUUUUUAAUUUUCAGGGUGCCAAUAAAUAGGGCAGAGGGAACUCGUCAACACUGAAGUUGCCGAAAAUAUAGCUUGAGGGAGCCGUGGCAGCUAACUUCCUCACAGUUGAGACGGAUGUGCCUCAGUCAACGACUGACUACUACGCUCAUACUACGAUUGAAGUGCCCCCAGACUGGGAGGGCAUCAGCAUGAACCCGCAAAUGGUAGGCCUUACCAUCCCCUCCAUCCCGAGUGACGAGGAGUUCGAGAGGAACUGAAGCUGAGCAGGAGUGAAAGACGAAGAGGGAAGAAGUCGAAGAAGAAGGCGGAGGAAGAGAAAUCAGGACCUUACGCUGAUUAUUAUGAAGAUGAUGAUGAUGAAGAUGAUGAGGGGGAUGAAGAUCAAGUUAGAAAGAGGACGAUGAGUGACAAGAAAAAGACAAUAAAAAAAGUGAACAUGAAAAUAUACGGAGGAUAAAAAAGGAAACGGAAAUAAACGAUGAAAGGAAAAUGAAAAUAAAGAUAAGGAGAAAAAGGAAAAUGAAGAUGAAAAGAAAAAGGAAAAUAAAGAUAAAAGGAAGAAGGAAAAUAAAGAUAAAAAGGAAAAAAAAUAAAGAUAAAAAAACAGGAAAUAAAAGAAAAAGAAAAAGGAAAAUAAAGAUGAAAUUUAACAAUUUCUCAUUUGAUGGUUUUAUUCUAGCCCCGCAUUAUCAACGAUUGCCGUGAGAACGUACCUUUACGUCUGUUCAUUAUGACGUUUCACAAAAUGAGAACCGUCUUCUUUUCUCAUAUGAAUGGAAAUCCACAAAAAGUUUCUGGUCCAAAGGUCCUCAUAUUUUGAGCGUCCCAUGUCCCAUACGUACCUAUUCAUCGUAGGUACGCUUUUGAGUCCGUUUAUGUAGAACUAGCACUGAACCCGCACCACGUGGGGGACCAAUGGUAGCAAAUGCAUCCAAUGUAUCUAACCACAGUCCACGUGAUCUCUUCAUUUUAGUGACGUAUUACUGUGCUAUUUUGUGAUUGGUUCAUUUUCUUGGCGCAGCAUCGUUAAGCGUCGCUGUUUGCGGCUUUGGGCUGAAGGUUCAAGGUUCAGAUUCUACUCGCCUUAAUCAAAGACAUAAAGACGGAGUGCUAAAAGCAAAAAAUGAAGCCUCUUUUCAACCACCUCUACUAUUGGCUAGAGGAUUGCGGCAAAAUCGGGACAAGUUUGUGAAUUCAAAUGUAGGGCGGGAACUAAAUAAAUUGCGAAAAGAAGUAUUCUAGUUAUUUUUGCACAAAUUCACUUACCCACUCAUAUUUUUGUAACUUUAGGUUAGUUUUGGUCCGUCGUCGACCGAUUAAUUUAAUUUGGAAGUACGGUCAUCUAGGACUGUAACGACCUGUUUAAACCGGCAGGCCUCACCAUACGCAGAAGAAAAACUAACUUUAUUUGAAAUUACUGCCUGUUACGGAGAAAAGUAAGUGUAUUAUACUAGGUCGCAGUCCCAACUUUCUUAAUAUAUUCGUUUUAGGCAUUAAAUACGUUUAGAAGAAGAAAUGUGGAAAAAUCAAGAGGACAAGUUCAAAUCAAAUUUCCGUUUGCCGCCAUGGAUUCCCGCGCUCAUUUACACACUCACACAAGCACCCCUAGCCAAACCGGCUUCACUUUUUCCCUUUUCCGCUUUUAGAUACGAGCACUCCGUCGCUUUAUGUCUUUUGGCCUAAAUCCCUGAAAAUUUGAAAGCCGGAGCAUGGAUGUGCCAAAAAUCCCCUGAUGUCUACUGACAAUUAAAAAUAAUCUCUACAUUACUUGUCCUUAGAUACUGUAGAUUCCUAAACUGGAAUAGAAGCCAAAUAACCUGCAAAAAAAAAAAAAAAAAAAAAAAAAAAAAAAAAAGGUUUAAGGUUAAGCAUGGACAAGAGCAUACGGACCCCCCAACUCCAGUUAGCGGUACAUUAGCGCUGCUGGCAGAGGGUCUAUUGAACUAAACCGACGAUUGGGUCCUCCUUUCAUGUUUUCAUGCACCAAAUAUUUAGGCUUAUCACUCAGUGCUGAUGGGGAGGUUCUAGAUCUCGUAGUCGUCCUGAAGUUCCGAAGAGUUUGGUGGGAAAGUUUAUUUCCAUUUUUAUUUCAAUCUUCGUCAGUUCUUCGGGUGUAUAAACGGUCAAUAAUGUGCAUUGUUAAGAAGCGUCUCCAACGCUUUUGACGUUGAAUUGCCUUGUUUUCCUCAUUUAACGGUUCUACCCUGAUUCCAACGAUCAACUUACAACAAAUCCAAUAUGUUCACAAGAUAUUGCUAUGUAUGAAACAUAUGUCCUCAAGGAGCACAGUUUUAUCUCGCAUUAUGAGUUUUAAGAAAUCGUUUAUAUUGUUUUGAUUUCGUCGUGAAAAACGUCUUUGCACGACAAUGUCAUAUCGCGGAAAAGUUUGCAAAACCUCAAUGGGAUAUGCUAAAACUUCCUCGUUUUCUAUUUAAAGGUGUAUUCCUACCAGAAAUUAUUCACAAUUCCACACUCACGUUAUAGAAUUAUACGCACGAAUUAUGAUUUCCUCUUGAAAUUAGUGGUGAACGAGUCUAUUUAAUCAACGUACACGUUCUGAUGAAUCAUCUCCUGAAAAUUAAUGGAAGGUGUUUACUUGAAAUGUUUAAAAUAAAAACUAAAAACCCUAGCCCCCAAGCGAACUUUCAGUUUUGGAUCACCGAACAAUUGAAGCCUUAAGUGAAGUAGUUGAUCAAUUAUUAAUUUAAAACACCCAAAUACAUACAUACAUACAUAAGAAGUCGCUUCUCACAGCGCCUCCGCGCUUCUCCGGCGCUCUGCGACGCCUAAACCGCCACAAAACUCGGUCC
rnacentral:lncRNA from 1 species